rnacentral:rRNA from 1 species
AGAAUCAACGCUGGCGGCGUGCCUAACACAUGCAAGUCGCACGAGAAAGGGGAGCAAUCCCUGAGUACAGUGGCGCACGGGUGAGUAACACGUGAAUAAUCUACCUCCGAGCGGGGAAUAACUGAGAGAAAUCUUAGCUAAUACCGCAUAAUACCCACGGGUCAAAGCAGCAAUGCGCUUGGAGAGGAGUUCGCGGCAGAUUAGUUAGUUGGCGGGGUAAUGGCCCACCAAGACGAUGAUCUGUA